GCCACAGAGCGCGCGGAGGACAAGGUGACCAGAGGUUCCCCAGACGGUACCCCUGGUAGAGAGAGCCAAUAGGGAAUGAGAGAAGGGGCGCGCGGGGAAACAGACCUGGUGUGGCCUCUCCUCCCAAAGUUACCGUGUUCCAAGGCUGUAAAAAGUUUCUCGGUUCUGAAAGUGGGAUUUCCCCGCUGUCCUCUAGGGUUGGGGGGUGGGUUGUGAAUGUCGCUGGCGGGUGUGGCUGUUUUGCAAGGCAGCGCCAUGCCCUACGCGGAGCCGGACCCGGGCGUCGAGCCCUAUUGUCGACUACCUGUGUGACCUUGAACAAAUCUUCCCUUCCUCUCUAGGGUCUCAGUUACCCAUCUCUGAAAAAUUAGUGGUUUCUCAAGCCAAAAAGGGUCCAACCUUGAGGGUCAGUGUUUGAGUUUUUAACUGAAGGCACUCUGGAUUUCAAGUCCUGAGCAAGGCUUAGAAGUGUGUUGCACCAUCUCCUUUCUUCCUGUGUUCAGCUUCCCAAAUCCUGAAUCUUCAAAUAAACUCUCCUGUUUGUGUUUUUACAGAUUCUCUUGUCUGAGAUCACAGCAUUGAUUGCAUGCACUCUGCCUCCCUCCAGUUUACCCUUCACAUUUUUUUUUUUUUUUUUUUUUUUUUGAGAGGGAGUCUCCCUCUGUCGCCCAGGCUGGAGUGCAGUGGCGCCAUCUAGGCUCACUGCAACCUCCGCCUCCCGGUUUAAGCGAUUCUUCUGCCUCAGCCUCCCAAGUAGCUGGGAUUACAGGCGCCCGCCACCAUGCCCGGCUAAUUUUUGUAUUUUAGUAGAAACGGGUUUCACCACGUUGGCCAGGCUGGCCUCGAACUGCCGACCUCAAGCUAUCCGCCCGCCUCGGCCUCCCAAAGUGCUGGGAUUACAGGCGUGAGCCACCGUGCCCGGCCGAGGGAUCUUUCUAAGACAUGAUAAAACCAUGGCACACUCUCGCUCCCAGGCUUCCAUGGCCCCAGCACCCUUAGGAGAAAACCCAAACUCCUGAUUAGGAGACCCUGAAUAGUCUUAACCUCAGGCUGAAUAGUCUAAUAUCCAGAUUCCACCCCUUUGCCAAUCCCCACCCGCCGUACACGCUUCCAGUCUGUCCUUUCUAAGCCCUCAUGUAGCACUAAGUCCUGUAAGGCUCUGGAUCCCCUCCUGGAAGCACACUCCUAAACCUAUCUAUCCCACUCCCAAACCUCUUGUUAGUCCAACCCCAUCUCUCCUACUGGCCCCCAGCACAACCAACAAUCACCCUAAAGGGCAGAUAUUAGUAUCAUCUCCAUUUUACAGAUAAAGACACAGACUUGCAGAGGUGUUUGACGAAGGUCACAACAACAUAAGAAGGUGACAGAGCCAGGAUCAGGAAUCCCAUCUAAUUCCUAUGUCCUUCAUUGCCACUCUACUGCCUCUGUAGGUGCCAGAGCCCAUCUUGGUGGGUUAGUAAAUUUUUCUUUUGUUUGUUCGUAUUGUUUGUUUUGGGGUUGGGGGAAAAGGAGCUGCCAUAGUGGAUUUGAAUUCUGGUUUCGAGUCCAGCGGAAUCCUUCCUGACACUGUGACCUUGGGCAAGUGAUCACCCUCUUCUAAGCCUCAGUUUCAACCUCUGUAAAGUGGGGAUAAUAAUUAUCCCCAUCAUACAGGAUUAGAGGAGAGUUCGACAACAUGAGUACAGCAUUUGUCAGGGAGCCUGACACAGAGUAGUACUUUUAUAUUCACUCCAUCACAAAUACUCAAAGUGGGCUGGGUAUGGUAGCUCAUGCCUGUAAUCGAAGCACUUUGGGAGGCCAAAGCAGGCAGAUCACUUGAGGUCAGAAGUUCAAGACCAGCCUGGCCAACAUGGCAAAACCCCGUCACUACCAGAAAUACAAAAAUUUAGCUGGGCAUGAUGGUGCGCACCUAUAGUCCCAGUUAUUAGGGAGGUUGAGGCAGGAGAAUUGCUUGAACCUAGGAGGCGGAGGCUGCAGUGAGC
rnacentral:lncRNA from 1 species